rnacentral:rRNA from 1 species
GACGAACGCUGGCGGCGUGCCUAAUACAUGCAAGUCGAGCGAAGUUUUUCUGGUGCUUGCACUAGAAAAACUUAGCGGCGAACGGGUGAGUAACACGUAAAGAACCUGCCUCAUAGACUGGGACAACUAUUGGAAACGAUAGCUAAUACCGGAUAACAGUAUUUCUCGCAUGAGAGAUAUUUAAAAGUUGGUUAUGCUAACACUAUGAGAUGGCUUUGCGGUGCAUUAGCUAGUUGGUGGGGUAAAGGCCCACCAAGGCGACGAUGCAUAGCCGACCUGAGAGGGUGAUCGGUCACACUGGGACUGAGACACGGCCCAGACUCCUACGGGAGGCAGCAGUAGGGAAUCUUCCGCAAUGGGCGAAAGCCUGACGGAGCAACGCCGCGUGAGUGAAGAAGGAUUUCGGUUCGUAAAGCUCUGUUGUUAGGGAAGAAUGGAUAUGUAGUAACUAUACAUGUAAGAGACGGUACCUAACCAGAAAGCCACGGCUAACUACGUG